GUGCCUAGCGAGGACAACUUUUAUGCGGCAUUGAACUCGGCGGUGUUUAGCGAUGGAUCAUUUUGUUAUAUACCUAAGGACACAAAGUGCCCGAUGCAGAUUUCGACUUAUUUCCGAAUCAAUGCUUUGGAAACUGGACAGUUCGAGAGAACUUUGAUUGUUGCUGAUGACAGGAGUUUUGUAGAGUAUUUGGAGGGAUGUACAGCGCCUUCCUAUGAUAGAAAUCAGCUUCAUGCUGCGGUGGUUGAAUUGUAUUGUGCUGAAGGUGCAGAGAUUAAGUACUCCACAGUUCAGAACUGGUAUGCUGGUGAUGAG
rnacentral:misc_RNA from 1 species